UACGGAGGGGCUAGCGUUGUCCGAAGUUACUGGGCGUAAAGCGUGCGUAGUCGGUAUUGAGAGUCACGGUGAAAUCCCAAGGCUUAACCUUGGAACUGCCUGUGAGACCUCAGUACUAGAGUGUGAGAGGGAUAGUGGAAUUCCAGUGUAGAGGUGAAAUUCGUAGAUAUUGGGAAGAACACCGAUGGAGCGAAGGCCAGCCAUCUGGACCGACGACUGACGCUGAGGCGGCGAAAGCGUGGGAGCCAACAGG
rnacentral:rRNA from 1 species